UACGUAGGGGGCAAGCGUUGUCCGGAAUCAUUGGGCGUAAAGCGCGUGUAGGCGGCCAGAAAAGUCCGCUGUGAAAACUCGAGGCUCAACUUCGAGCUGUCGGUGGAAACUUUCUGGCUAGAGUCCGGAAGAGGAGAAUGGAAUUCCUGGUGUAGCGGUGAAAUGCGCAGAUAUCAGGAAGAACACCCGUGGCGAAGGCGGCUCUCUGGAACGCAACUGACGCUGAGACGCGAAAGCGUGGGGAGCAAACAGG
rnacentral:rRNA from 1 species